GGUGACUUGGCCGAGCGGUCUAAGGCGCUGGACUUAAGUUCCAGUCUCCAUGUUGGAGGCGUGGGUUCGAACCCCACAGUCACCA